GCGCUUGGGGCAAUGACGCAGUCAAUGAGGUAUUAACCGAGGCGCGUCAAUUGCUGGUUGAAAACUAUUUCCAAACCCCCUCUUAGGCCUGGGCUUUCCCCUGGCCUCUGAGAAUUUCUGGAAGGGUCCCAUAAUUGGGAGAAUUGUAGAUAUUGAUUUAGGAAUGCUUUACAUUGGUAUUCCCUUAACUGGAAUUUUGCCUACAGCAAAUUUCUUGAUCUAGCCAACAGAUUUAUUGUUCACUAGUGUAGAAAAAGCUCAAAGAUGCCGUGAAUUUGCAGUCUUCUUCAGACUGAAUCUUGUUAUCAGGAUACCACAGUACUUUCGCCAAGAAGUUAUGAACCGAUCAGAGAUGCCGAAUUGGAGAAAAAUUGCUCCGGUGAUGGGACCAAGUGUUUAAUGUCUGGAAGGACCUAGAAGAAAACCAAAGAAGAAUGACAUCGUCGAACUUGCUCAUGUCAACCUACCCAACUGGGAAUAGAAUCGUCAACUGGAUAAUUGGGAUUUGGGAGUGGAACGACUACCUCCAGAUUCAAUAUGGACCAGAAUACUACUGUUUGAGUACUGAAACUUUAGCAAGAUUACCUGCAAAGAUGAACUGGCCGGAGCGGUCGCGGAUGCCGAAGAAAGAGUUGGAUCCGAGCUCGGGUGGAAGGGAGA